rnacentral:rRNA from 1 species
UACGUAGGGGGCAAGCGUUGUCCGGAUUUAUUGGGCGUAAAGAGCGUGUAGGCGGCCAGGCAGGUCCGCUGUGAAAACUCGAGGCUCAACCUCGAGAGGUCGGUGGAAACCGUCUGGCUAGAGUCCGGAAGAGGAGAGUGGAAUUCCCGGUGUAGCGGUGAAAUGCGCAGAUAUCGGGAAGAACACCCGUGGCGAAGGCGGCUCUCUGGGACGGUACUGGACGCUGAGACGCGAAAGCGUGGGGAGCGAACAGG